rnacentral:rRNA from 1 species
GCCUGCGGCCACGCCACCCUGAACACGCCCGACGGCUGAUCUCGGAAGCUAAGCAGGGUCGGGCCUGGUUCGUACUUGGAUGGGAGACCACCUAGGAAGACCAGGUGCUGUAGGCG